GAGCAUCCUGGCGGCGAGUGGCGAACGGGUGAGUAAUACAUCGGAACGUGUCCUGUAGUGGGGGAUAGCCCGGCGAAAGCCGGAUUAAUACCGCAUACGAUCUACGGAUGAAAGCGGGGGAUCGCAAGACCUCGCGCUAUAGGGGCGGCCGAUGGCGGAUUAGCUAGUUGGUGGGGUAAAGGCCCACCAAGGCGACGAUCCGUAGCUGGUCUGAGAGGACGACCAGCCACACUGGGACUGAGACACGGCCCAGACUCCUACGGGAGGCAGCAGUGGGGAAUUUUGGACAAUGGGCGCAAGCCUGAUCCAGCAAUGCCGCGUGUGUGAAGAAGGCCUUCGGGUUGUAAAGCACUUUUGUCCGGAAAGAAAUCCUCUGGGUUAAUACCCCGGGGGGAUGACGGUACCGGAAGAAUAAGCACCGGCUAACUACGUGCCAGCAGCCGCGGUAAUACGUAGGGUGCGAGCGUUAAUCGGAAUUACUGGGCGUAAAGCGUGCGCAGGCGGUGAUGUAAGACCGAUGUGAAAUCCCCGGGCUUAACCUGGGAACUGCAUUGGUGACUGCAUCGCUGGAGUAUGGCAGAGGGGGGUAGAAUUCCACGUGUAGCAGUGAAAUGCGUAGAGAUGUGGAGGAAUACCGAUGGCGAAGGCAGCCCCCUGGGCCAAUACUGACGCUCAUGCAC
rnacentral:rRNA from 1 species